rnacentral:ncRNA from 1 species
UUCCAGCACCGUCGUACAGUGCGAUGGGGGGACGGAUCGCGGAAAAUCAUCAGGGUGUUGGAUGUCCCUGUUGCUGCAUCGAAGAUGGCGCUUAGGCAAAUCCGGGCGCGUAAAUCAAGGGUGUGGCACGAGCGAGCAUUGCUUGCGAAGUGAUCGGAAGUGGUUCCAAGAAAAGCCUCUAAGCUUCAGCUGUACGAGAC